AUUGAACGCUGGCGGCAGGCCUAACACAUGCAAGUCGAGCUGAUCGGCGGACGGGUGCGUAAUGCCUAGGAAUCUGCAUGGUCGUGGGGGAUAACGUCCGGAACCGGGCGCUUAUACCGCAUAAUAUCCGCUGAGCCUUGGUCGGGUUAGCUAGUUGGGGGGGUAAAGGCCGACCAAGGCGCCGAUCCGUAACUGGUCUGAGAGGAGGAUCAGUCACAAUGGAACUGAGACACGGUCCAGACUCCUACGGGAGGCAGCAGUGGGGAAUAUUGAACAAUGGGCGAAAGCCUGAUCCAGCCAUGCCGCGUGUGUGAAGAAGGUCUUCGGAUGGUAAAGCACUUUAAGUUGGGAGGCGUUACCAACAGAAGAAGCACCGGCUAACUUCGUGCCAGAAGACGCGGUAAUUC
rnacentral:rRNA from 1 species